rnacentral:rRNA from 1 species
AGCUUACCUAACUUCAAGUUGAGAAUAAUCUCGGGAAACUGAGUGUAAAUCUCGAUAGAGGAUGAUUUCUGGAAGGAGUUAUCUUUGAAUUUUACUUGAAGAUGGGGCUGCGGCGGAUUAGGUAGUUGGCGGGGUAAUGGCCCACCAAGCCAAUGAUCUGUAAGGGUUCUUAGCGGAAGAGCCCUGAGAUGGAAUCUGAGACACUAUUCCAAGCCCUACGGGGUGCAGCAGUCGGGGAUAUUUUCCAAUGCGCGCAAGCGUGAGAAAGUGAGCCAGAGUGUUUUUCCUUUUAGGAAAACUUUUGCCAGCUUUAAAAAGGCUGGCGAAUAAGGACUGGGCAAGACUGGUGCCAGCCGCCGCGGUAAUCCCAGCGGUCCAAGUCGCAACCUCAAUUAUUGGGUCUAAAACAUCUGUAGCUUGUUUGUUAAGUCUUUUGUGAAAUCCGACAUCUUAAGUGUCGGGCGUGCAAGAGAUACUGGCAGACUAGAGACUGCGGGAUGGAAAGAGUACAUUCGAGGAAGUGGUAAAAUACGUUGAUCUUGAAUGGACUAACAAUAGCGAAGGCACUUUCCAAUAACAGUUCUGACAGUGAGAGAUGAAGGCUAGGGGCGCGAAAUGGAUUAGAUACCCAUGUAGUCCUAGCAGUAAACACUGCGCAUUAAACAUCGGUACCUCCUCGAGAGGCAUCGGCGCUGCAGCGAAGGCGAGAGGUGCGCUACCUGGGAAGUAUAGACGCAAGUCCGAAACUUAA